CCCCAGAUGUUGCUGAACUACAACUCCCAUGAUUCCCUGGCUGUUUAAUUGAAAGAAUCAUGGGAGUUGUAGUUCAGCAACAUCUGGGG
rnacentral:miRNA from 1 species